rnacentral:rRNA from 1 species
AUACGUAGGUGACAAGCGUUAUCCGGAUUUAUUGGGCUUAAAGGGUGCGUAGGCGGCCGAUUAAGUUAGAGGUGAAAUCCCGUGGCUCAACCACGGAACUGCCUCUGAUACUGGUUGGCUAGAAAAUGGUUGCUGUGGGCGGAAUGGGUAGUGUAGCGGUGAAAUGCUUAGAGAUUACACAGAACACCGAUUGCGAAGGCAGCUCACAAAACCAAUUUGGACGCUGAGGCACGAAAGCGUGGGGAGCAAACAGGAUUAGAUACCCUGGUAGUCCACGCCGUAAACGAUGAUAACUCGCUGCUGGCGAUACAAUGUCAGUGGCUUAGCGAAAGCGUUAAGUUAUCCACCUGGGGAGUACGGUCGCAAGAAUGAAACUCAAAGGAAUUGGCGGGG